CAGUCGCCGCGGUAAUACGUAGGUGGCAAGCGUUAUCCGGAAUUAUUGGGCGUAAAGCGCGCGUAGGCGGUUUUUUAAGUCUGAUGUGAAAGCCCACGGCUCAACCGUGGAGGGUCAUUGGAAACUGGAAAACUUGAGUGCAGAAGAGGAAAGUGGUAUUCCAUGUGUAGCGGUGAAAUGCGCAGAGAUAUGGAGGAACACCAGUGGCGAAGGCGACUUUCUGGUCUGUAACUGACGCUGAUGUGCGAAAGCGUGGGGAUCAAACAGGAUUAGAUACCCCAGUAGUCCCUGUCUCUUAUAC
rnacentral:rRNA from 1 species